AAAACUUGUCACCGUUAAAACUAGAUAAAUUCUACAGAAAUGUAAGACUAAUGUCGAUCAGAAAGAACAUAUCUUAACACUAGUAAAAAUCUGUCGUAUAGCCACUACAAAACCGUGGCUAUACAGCUUAAAAUCGUGGCUAUACAAAAAAAUAGCCACGCUUAUGGAUAAAAAAAAAAACGUGGCUAUAGCCUCGUGGCUAGAAAAAACCGUGGCUAUUCGUGGCUAUUAGCCACUGUUUUUCCAUUGCACUUUCGUGGCUAUUUUAGCUACGGUUUUGCUACUAUUUUUUUAGCUAAGUAUANNNN
rnacentral:lncRNA from 1 species